GACAGAGGUGCCGAGCGUUAGGCGGAAUCACUGGGCUUAAAGCGUGUGUAGGCGGAUUCCUAAGUACCUUGUGAAAUCCCAUGGCUCAACCAUGGAACUGCUUGGUAUACUGGGUGUCUUGAGCCAACUAGGGGCUACCGGAACAAAUGGUGGAGCGGUGAAAUGCGUAGAUAUCAUUUGGAACGCCAAUGGCGAAAACAGGUAGCUGGGGUUGUGCUGGACGCUGAGACACGAAAGCCAGGGGAGCGAACGGG
rnacentral:rRNA from 1 species